rnacentral:rRNA from 1 species
UACGUAGGGUGCAAGCGUUGUCCGGAAUUAUUGGGCGUAAAGAGCUCGUAGGCGGCUUGUCACGUCGGAUGUGAAAGCCCGGGGCUUAACUCCGGGUCUGCAUUCGAUACGGGCUGGCUAGAGUGUGGUAGGGGAGAUCGGAAUUCCUGGUGUAGCGGUGAAAUGCGCAGAUAUCAGGAGGAACACCGAUGGCGAAGGCAGAUCUCUGGGCCGUAACUGACGCUGAGGAGCGAAAGCAUGGGGAGCGAACAGG